CAAUAGCGUAUAUUAAAGUUGUUGCAGUUAAAAAGCUCGUAAUUGGAUGUCUGGCUCUCGCAGGAGCUGUCUGCCGAAAGGUAGCACGGCUCGGCGGGGCCAUCCUCUCGAGGACGGGGUGUGCCUUUAACUAGGUGUGCCUUUGGACUCGGGACCUUUACUUUGAAAAAAUUAGAGUGUUCAAAGCAGGCCUACGCUUGAAUACAUUAGCAUGGAAUAAUGGAAUAGGACUUCGGUUUCUAUUUUGUUGGUUUCUAGAGCUGAGGUAAUUGAUUAAUAGGGAUAGUUGGGGGCAUCUGUAUUGCGUUGUCAGAGGUGAAAUUCUUGGAUUUACGCAAGACAAACAGCUGCGAAAGCGUCUGCCAAGGAUGUUUUCAUUA
rnacentral:rRNA from 1 species